rnacentral:rRNA from 1 species
GCUACCGACGGACCGUAGGCGGCGGUAAUACGUAGGGGUGAGGAGGUAAUCGGAAUUACUGGGCGUAAAGCGUGCGCAGGCGGGUUGGUAAGACAGAGGUGAAAGCCCCGGGCUCAACCUGGGAACUGCGUUUGUGACUGUGUUGCUAGAGUGUAGCAGAGGGGGGUGGAAUUCCACGUGUAGCAGUGAAAUGCGUAGAGAUGUGGAGGAACACCGAUGGCGAAGGCAGCCCCCUGGGUUAACACUGACGCUCAUGCACGAAAGCGUGGGGAGCAAACAGGAUUAGAUACCCCAGUAGUC